GACGAACGCUGGCGGCGUGCCUAAUACAUGCAAGUCGAACGCAGUGGGGACGGGUGAGUAACACGUGGGUAACCUUCCAUCAGAGGGGAUAACACUUGGAAACAGGUGCUAAACCGAUACUGAUGGAUGGACCCGCGGUGCAUUAGCUAGUUGGUGAGGUAACGGCUCACCAAGGCCACGAUGCAUAGCCGACAUGAGAGGGUGAUCGGCCACACUGGGACUGGGACACGGCCCAGACUCCUACGGGAGGCGGCAAGAGAGAAGGAUCAGCAGUGGACGAAGAUCAGACCAAGCAACGGCGCGUGAGUGAAGAAGGUUUUAAGGUCGUAAAACACUGUUGUUAGAGAGGCGGUAUCUAUCCAGAAAGCCACGGCUAACUGCGUGCCAGCAGCCGCGGUAAUAC
rnacentral:rRNA from 1 species